rnacentral:rRNA from 1 species
UACGGAGGAUGCGAGCGUUAUCCGGAUUUAUUGGGUUUAAAGGGUGCGUAGGCGGGCUUUUAAGUCAGCGGUAAAAAUUCGGGGCUCAACCCCGUCCGGCCGUUGAAACUGGGGGUCUUGAGUGGGCGAGAAGAAGGCGGAAUGCGUGGUGUAGCGGUGAAUUGCAUAGAUAUCACGCAGAACCCCGAUUGCGAAGGCAGCCUUCCGGCGCCCUACUGACGCUGAGGCACGAAAGUGCGGGGAUCGAACAGG